rnacentral:rRNA from 1 species
CCUACGGGGGGCUGCAGUGGGGAAUAUUGGACAAUGGGGGGAACCCUGAUCCAGCCAUGCCGCGUGUGUGAAGAAGGCCCUCGGGUUGUAAAGCACUUUCAGUGAGGAAGAACGCCUGGUGGUUAAUACCCAUCAGGAAAGACAUCACUCACAGAAGAAGCACCGGCUAACUCCGUGCCAGCAGCCGCGGUAAUACGGAGGGUGCGAGCGUUAAUCGGAAUUACUGGGCGUAAAGCGCGCGUAGGUGGCUUGAUAAGCCGGUUGUGAAAGCCCCGGGCUCAACCUGGGGACGGCAUCCGGAACUGUCAAGCUAGAGUGCAGGAGAGGAAGGUAGAAUUCCCGGUGUAGCGGUGAAAUGCGUAGAGAUCGGGAGGAAUACCAGUGGCGAAGGCGGCCUUCUGGACUGACACUGACACUGAGGUGCGAAAGCGUGGGUAGCAAACAGGAUUAGAUACCCGUGUAGUC